UACGUAGGGUGCGAGCGUUGUCCGGAAUUAUUGGGCGUAAAGAGCUCGUAGGCGGUCUGUCGCGUCGGUCGUGAAAACCUGCAGCUUAACUGUGGGCGUGCGGUCGAUACGGGCAUGACUGGAGUUCGGCAGGGAGACUGGAAUUCCUGGUGUAGCGGUGAAAUGCGCAGAUAUCAGGAGGAACACCGGUGGCGAAGGCGGGUCUCUGGGCCGAUACUGACGCUGAGGAGCGAAAGCGUGGGGAGCGAACAGG
rnacentral:rRNA from 1 species